ACAGGAACAUGAACAUGCAGUUGGCGAACACAGAAGAGUAUGUGGAUGGAGCGUUGGCUGGUCACCUUGGAGAAGUACUUGUUAGGUGCAAUAAUGUUUUAUAUAUUAGAGGAGUGGAGGAAGAAGAGGAGGACGGAGAAAUGAAAGAAUGAUGGCGAGGAUGCGACUUACAACUGAUGAUCUGGAUGAGUGUUUAAAUCGUAGCUUUUUUUUCAUUUUCACUAUGUGGAAAAUUGACCCUUGGGGGAGCAAGUUAGUUUUAUAUGUGGGAAACUUUAAAGAAAACAGUUUAUUUUUUCUUUUUUUCUCUCUUCUUCUACUGUUUAUGAUCAGUAUGUAUUAUCACUGUAGAAAAAAAAAUAAAAGGAUGUUUAUUGUACCCAUUCCUAAACCUGCUGUCUGGUGGUAUUAUUACAGGUUUGUGAGGGAGGUGAUUGAUGUGGUGUCUCAACCUUAUUAUCAAACACUACACAUUGAACAGAGCCUGUCAAUCAAUGUACAGUAUUCCUCAUUUUCCAAGCCCCACCCAGGAUUUGGCUCUUGCACUUUGAACACCUGUUGAGCACAUAUUUACUUUCCCCCAAACCACUAGAAAGUGACAGCGAGGCGACAUAGAAAUAGAGGUGACUUACAAAAGUAAUUCAACAUUUUAAAGUUUAAUUUCGACUAUUUCAAAAUGUCCAACAAACUUUUGGUAAAGAACGCGAAACAGGUGGUUUUAAUUUGCCACAACGGUGAGAAGUUCCUGACGAAGGAUGGGAUGCAAAAGCUGUGUGUGAUUGAGAACAGUAGUUUGGUUAUCGGGAGCGACGGCCUGAUAAAGGAUAUUGGACCAGCGAGCACCAUUGAUUUCCAAUAUGCAGGGGUCUCGUUUGAUAAAGUCAUCGAUGCAACUGGCAUGUGUGUCU